rnacentral:rRNA from 1 species
GAUGAACGCUGGCGGCGUGCCUAAUACAUGCAAGUCGAGCGAACAGACGAGGAGCUUGCUCCUCUGACGUUAGCGGCGGACGGGUGAGUAACACGUGGAUAACCUACCUAUAAGACUGGGAUAACUUCGGGAAACCGGAGCUAAUACCGGAUAAUAUAUUGAACCGCAUGGUUCAAUAGUGAAAGACGGUUUUGCUGUCACUUAUAGAUGGAUCCGCGCCGCAUUAGCUAGUUGGUAAGGUAACGGCUUACCAAGGCAACGAUGCGUAGCCGACCUGAGAGGGUGAUCGGCCACCCUGUAACUGAGACACGGUCCAGACUCCUACGGGAGGCAGCAGUAGGGACUCUUCCGCAAUGGGCGAAAGCCUGACGGAGCAACGCCGCGUGAGUGAUGAAGGUCUUCGGAUCGUAAAACUCUGUUAUUAGGGAAGAACAAAUGUGUAAGUAACUAUGCACGUCUUGACGGUACCUAAUCAGAAAGCCACGGCUAACUACGUG